AAUUUGGAGAGGUCGUUCUCCAGUGGGGAAGAAGGAAUAACAAAAGGAGCAUUUUUGGAGCAUUUAUUAACAGUAUAGGCUAGGCUUUUUUUCUAUGUAUUUUAUAUGUGUCUAUUCAUUUAAUGCCCUUGAUAAUCCACUGAAAGAGGUGUCAUUAUUAUCAUCCCAUUUUACAGAAGAAGAAACUGAAACAAGAAGAUGAGCAUCUCAGCAUCUCAGAGGUGAAGAAACUGGCCUAGCCACCACGUGGUGGCACUUGCAGCCUGAGUCAGCAGAUCCCCAGGCAAAUGAAGACUCUGAGAUGAAGACAGCUGAGCGCAUGAUGGGGUAGGUCAGCCUCCCUCAUGGAAAUUCUGUGUGCCUGAGGCCCACCCUUCCAGUGCAGAUGGAGGGAUGGGAUGGAAAUGAAUCUAGGGGAACGCAUCCCAGCUGUGAUCCAGCCACCUCUGCGUUUGAAGGCUGGGGGUUAUUCCCUCCUCAUGGUUGCCACGCAUUCUUAUGUUUGCAUGUCAUGCUUGGAACUGCCGCAGCCACUUUGUGACAGCCUGAGAAUGAAUCCAGCGCUAAAAUCAGUCUAGCAAAAGGAGGAGAAACACCUGGGUCUCCAUGAUGUCACUGAGCAAGUGAAUUGACCAGCUGUGAGGUACUUCUGUGAUUCCUCCAUCUCACAGGACUGGUGUCCUUAUAAUGAAAGGAAGAGACACUGAGUUCUGUCUCCCAGCCUUGUGAGGACACGUUGAGAUGACUGCAAGCUGGGAAGAGAGCCUUCACCAGGAGCUGAAUUUGCUGGUAGUUUGAUCUUGAACCACAUUGAGAUGACUGCAAGCUGGGAAGAGAGCCUUCACCAGGAGCUGAAUUUGCUGGUACUUUGAUCUUGAACCUCCAGCCUCCAGAAUUGUGACAAAAUAAAUUUCUGUUGUUGAAGCCA